rnacentral:tRNA from 1 species
ACACUUAUAGUUUAAGAGGUAGAAUAACAGUAUACGGAACUGUAGAUGUGUGUUCGAGACAUACUAAGUGUU